rnacentral:rRNA from 1 species
GUCCACGCCCUAAACGAUGGAUACUAGGUGUGGGAGGUAUUGACCCCUUCCGUGCCGAAGCCAACGCGUUAAGUAUCCCGCCUGGGGACUACGGCCGCAAGGUUAAAACUCAAAGGAAUUGACGGGGGCCCGCACAAGCAGCGGAGCGUGUGGUUCAAUUCGAUGCAACACGAAGAACCUUACCCAGGCUUGACAUGCAAGUGGUAGCGAAAGCGAAAGCGGAAGCGACCCGCAAAGGGAGCUUGCACAGGUGUUGCAUGGCUGUCGU